UGUGAUCUCCUUUUUGGUCACCAGACUUCCCUUUGGUGUUGUAGAGAUCAUUUGCGGGUUACUCUUCAGAAGCCUCCAUCGCGGCUGGUCGUAGCUGUAGAAGCCUCUGAGCCAUUCUGCUCACGUUUUAUGACACGGCUUACUCGGAAGUGUGGGCCUUAGUUUUGCGCCAAGCUACGCAAACUGAAGUGCUGCUGCUUUGCUUUGCUUUGCUGUGCUUUUACCGUCUGUUCCCGUUGCGAGAUUUCUUUUCCUGCUGCUGCCAGCUUUUACAGUGGACGUCGGCGUGGACAGCAGCCAUAUGCCUGCCGGUUAUGGGAGUCAGCUGGCGUGCAUAUUGAUUGACCGUUAACUUGUAGUCGUGCAGACGGCAAGUUGGAGCAAUACGGCGAUUCCGUUUGCUUCAGAUUUUAAAGUUUUAUCCAGAUUGUAUGUUGGUUUUCUGUUUUGAUUUGCAGUUUGGAUUUUUGUUACGCCACUGGUGGGAGGCCCUUUUUCUAGCUGCAGAUCACCAGUGUGGUCUUGCAGUUGGGUUAUCCCCCAGCGCUACAUAUUAGUUUUGUUGUAAUAUAUUAAAAUUUCCUUUGUUUCUUUUAUUCAGAUGCGGAGUGCCGACGUGGAGGAGACUAGGGUGCCUUGGUGGUGGGACCCUUUGCAUGUACACACCUGCCUUGUUUGGUUUAUUAGUGUGAGUGUGUGAUUGUGUGCUGCACUUGUGUCUUGGUGUGUUUUCUUUUUUUGUUUGUGUGUGGCAUCCCUGCCCCUCCACUGGUAAGCCUCAGCUCUGAAUACCUUUUUAAGCAUAUUUGUACAUGAAUAUUUAUGAUUGUGCUUUUAUAUGGUGUUUUAAAUAAUUAUUAAUAAAUUGUCAAGUUGUUUAUCAUUGAACCUCGUCUCUGUACUGAGUAUAGCGAACCUAAGUGCCUUUUUGGUGAUUUAGUGUUACUUCCAGUAUUCUCUGGGUGAAAUUCCCAGGGUGGUGUUGUCUUUUAAAACUGUGAAAAGUAUUUACUUUCUUUCCACCUCGUGCUGCCACAUGGGCAACAAUCUAGAUAAACAGAACUACAGUACUACUUCAGGACUCCAAAAAGUCACCAAACAAAACUGAAUCUAUUUCACUGACAUUACAAUUCCUGUGGACGGCUAAACUUAAGCUUAAGUCGGUUAUUGUGUUCUUGGGGGGCUCUGUUACUUUUCCCUCUCCACAGAUGGAGCAGAGAAGAAGAAAAAGCAGCUCAGGAGUCAUCAGCCCCUCACCCCACACUUAAAGCCAGCUUGAGUAGAUAUUCUGUAAAAAGAGCUGUGUGAUAAAACCAAUGAUACUUCUGAGGCAGUUUCCAGCUCAGUCUCAGAGGAGAAACAAGAUUUUGCUGUCCCAAGAAGCCAGGAUGGUAACAUCACUGCCACUCUGCACGAUCCCAGCACUGCUCCAGAGAAACCUAAAGGAAAGGCCUGGGUGGUGUUCACAGAGAGACAGUUGAAUAUUCUUGUCCAUCAGUUUAAUUUGAAACAUUACUGUGACCCAAGAGAGAUGAAACAGCUGGCAGAGAUGACAGGACUGACUUAUAAACAGGUAAAAACUUGGUUUCAAAACAGACGGAGUAAGUUUAGGAGGAGGUCACAUCCUCAGCAUGUGAAUCAGGGCGUCCCACUUCAUUUUCAGGGAGAGGGACAGCCCCCACUCAGGCAGGAGUACACCCAGCACCUGGAUGUAAACUUAAUCACAAAUGGUGCAAAUUAUCAGGGCCCCUAUCCUCAUCUUGUGGAUAAUUUUGUGGCUGGACCUCAAUGGACCUUCCCCACCUCACCACAGACGCUUGGCUGGUCGAUGCCACCAGGCAACCGCAAUUAUGAAUUCAACCCCGGUGUAUGAAUGCACAACACAACAACUCCGGGCUUCACAAUACAAGUUUUGAAGGAGCAAGUGGAGAGCCUUGCCAGCAGCUAAUGAUCCUUUAACUACAAAUAUUGUCAUUUAUAUCAGCAUUCUUUGUAUUACAUUUUAAUCUUCUUUUUUUCAUGUAGCUCAACAUAACAGUCUCUUUCAGUAAAUGAAAGGAACAUGGUGAAUUUUCGGCCCUUUAUUUUUAAUCAUCGGACUAAAAAAAAAAUUGAAUUCAGUCGACUUUGGCUAUUGUAAAUACAUUUUAGUCUAUCCAAAAAUAUUAAGAGAUGAAGUCAUGAAAAUUUGUUUUGUUUCAGUUGUAUCUUCCAGUAUUUGUAAAAAAAUAAUGGACAUGAAGGAUAUUAUCUGCCUUGUGUAUGAGAAACUGUAAAUACAAUAUUAGUUUCACCAAUUCAAAACUUUCUACAUGUCUCAAAUCCUUCUGUCAGAGACUGAACAUCCAAAUGUUUUAGAGACUUUAGACCUCUAUCUUUCCAUGUUAACUUGAGCUACAAUCCUCGAUAUUCACAAUCACAGUAUGAGACACCAUGUCAAGCUCACAGUCUACGCCUCACUAUGUCUCCUGAUUUAUUUAUUUUUACAAAUAACCA